GAUGGCCACGCGCCUGGAGCACCUGCCUCAGUUCCACCGGCGCGGCCAUGGAGAUAGGCCACCGUCAUCGCCUCUCCGUGGCAUACCAUCAUCGCCGGUCGGGGCUCAUGUAGAGGAACAACACCUCCUCUACAUUUGGUGACCCGAACUAUGAACACCAUGUUUGGCGUAAUUCGGUCCUUUUACCAUCCCAAAUUUGGCAACCUUCCCGCAAGUCCAGCACCGACGGCACGCUGCCGCGCAGCCUGGAAGCUCUCAUUUCCUGUCCGACGCUACAAUGGACCGCUAUGGUAGCUCUGUGAUACGGCAACCGAUCGAACCUGAUGCUCUCCACGUAUCCUCAACCUCACCUGUCCAGACCCACUGGCACGACUUUCAUCCGUCCUCAACAUCCUCUUCUCGUUCCCGAAUGGCUUCCUGGGCUCGGCAAGCAGACUGCUGCAUACCGACUUACUGACUUCCUCCUACAAAGCACGACCAAUCGGCACACACGCGCCUCACAGCUUCAUCAACCAUCACUUCUGCCCGAUGUUCACCGCACCCCGGCGCUCCUUCACUGCCGGCCGCGACACUCGAGCCUCGCGCUCACCUGCCGGUCGCGGCAGCCGACGCCACGGCAUGCUUCAGCCGGCGUCUCGGCAUCUCUCAACGGCUCGCACAGCCUCACCCUCUCCUCCUCUGACUCUCAGAGCUUCGGCUCCCGUGCCGGUAGCGGCACCCCAGGACCUCCACUUCCCCAGCGCCUCACAAUUUUCCUCCCUCUUCUCGGGCUACCGGAUGUGAUUACUCAUCAGCUGUGAUGCUUCGCCACUGCCUGCCGUGCCAUCAUCGUGUUCAACCGUGCAUGCUAACCACGGUCGCCCUCGCUGCCCUCCUCCAGUGAAGUCGCGGACAUCAUCUGCUUUAUCGCCGCUCCGCGUCUGAGGGGGGGAGUGAUGUAGCGGCCGGUGGACAACGACGAUGGCCACGCGCCUGGUGCACCUGCCUCAGUUCCACCGGCGCGGCCAUGGAGAUAGGCCACCGUCAUCGCCUCUCCGUGGCAUACCAUCAUCGCCGGUCGGGGCUCAUGUAGAGGAACAACACCUCCUCUACAGUGUCUUCCUGGCCAAUACAGUGAAUGACCCCUCUAUGAAAUGUCACUAUGAAAUGUCUUCACUAUACUGUUAGUGCCCGUGUACCAUUCGUGAAUAUUUCCGUUCUGUGGAAAUCGCCCAAUGUUGGAGCAAUGUGUGCUGUGUUCCAAUACCAUGUUUGCGCUCACUGUUUCUUUUCUUCUAGUCGUUAAAGAAAUGGCCACUUGACAUGCUUGCAGAAUUUUCUCACAUGGUGCAACCGGUACGGAAGAGGAAAAAUGCCUGAGGACAAGCAUAGAAAACUGUCCAGGGAACUCAGGGAUGAAGUCGCCAUGUUUUCGGAUGAGAAUCACCUCAUAGAGGAGUGUUCAAAAGGAGAGGCAAAGUGGACAUACAGACGUAUGGGUGAUGCUCUCGCCGAAAAAUACGCUUCCUUGCAACGGGAGAACGCGCAACCCGCCCUAUGGUCUGCACAUAUUUCAUGCAACUCUAUUGCCUUGAGAGCGUUUUCAUGAAGAGAUGAUAUAAUGCUCGAAGAGUAAGGCGACAGAGAAAGAGGAACGCUGUUGCAGGAAGUCCACCUACACCUGCGCGUACCGAGGAGACUCUGUCAAACGAAUCUGCUGCGGCAGAGCUGAAGGCACUGUCAUCCUCCACACAGAAUCUUGAUUAUGACACAGAGAAUGACUGUACUUCUGGAGUUAACCAUCUCUGACCGAAGAGAGACUCAUCUGGACCCCAUCCUACACGUGGUAAUUAAUAUUCAUAUAAGUGUAACUCAUUUCAUAGGUAAAGCCAGAGAGUUAUAUUUGU